rnacentral:tRNA from 1 species
CGGGGUGUGGCGUAGCUGGCUAACGCACGUGCUUUGGGAGCACGAGAUCGUCGGUUCGAAUCCGACCACCCCGACCA